GAUGAACGCUGGCGGCGCGCUUAACACAUGCAAGUCGAACGGAACUGUUUGGAUGAAGUUUUCGGAUGGAUUUUAAACAGUUUAGUGGCGGACGGGUGAGUAACGCGUGGGUAACCUGCCUCACACUGGGGGAUAACAGUUAGAAAUAGCUGCUAAUACCGCAUAAGCGCACAGCUCUGCAUGGAGCGGUGUGAAAAACUCCGGUGGUGUGAGAUGGACCCGCGUCUGAUUAGCCAGUUGGCGGGGUAACGGCCCACCAAAGCGACGAUCAGUAGCCGGCCUGAGAGGGUGAACGGCCACAUUGGGACUGAGACACGGCCCAAACUCCUACGGGAGGCAGCAGUGGGGAAUAUUGCACAAUGGGGGAAACCCUGAUGCAGCGACGCCGCGUGAGUGAAGAAGUAUUUCGGUAUGUAAAGCUCUAUCAGCAGGGAAGAAAGUGACGGUACCKAAUAAGAGCCCCCGMYU
rnacentral:rRNA from 1 species